rnacentral:misc_RNA from 1 species
CGAUCCGUCUGCACCGACAAUAUCGUAAUCCGCGUUCUUAGCCGCGAUUUCGUAAUCCUCGACACGAUCGGUGUUUGACGGUUCGUCACUAAACGUCCUAAAACGAUUACGGUCGUGGGGGUUAUUGGAAUUAGAACUGGCCUGAUGAUUCUGACCGUGAUCUACGUGUGCUACGAACCUGCUGGUGUAGCCGGCCGGCGUCGUCGCGGCGCCGCCCGUCGGCGUCGUGGUCGUCGUAGUUGUCGGGCUCGUCACCGAAUGCGCGGGACUUCCUCUCGGCGACGAAUACCUGAGACACGAAGUCUUCCUUGCUACCUCGUCUAGCUUCUGCGCUUCGAGCGAGCAGAGGCCCGAUAUCUGUCCUCGCCAUUGCGGAUUCGCUUCUCUGACGAUCCUGUGCAGUGGUCGAGGGUGUUGUCGAGGUCGUCGUGCCCGACGGAUGUGCAUCGGUUUCCGAUUCCUCCUCAGUCUCGGAUUCCGUCUCCUCCGAGGAACUACUAGUUUCCUCGUCGUCCUCCUCCUCUUCCUCCUUCUUCUUUAUGGCCGUUUCCUCUCGCGCCGCUGGAGGUGGUUGCGUGGGUGGCGGCGGGGCUGCACGGUUACCUACAGAGAU